UGAGAGGAGGAAACUGAAAGUGAAUGUAGCUAAGAGUAAGGUGAUGAGAUGUUCGAGAGAUGGAAUGGCUGUCUCAUUAAAACAG